rnacentral:rRNA from 1 species
UACGUAGGGGGCAAGGCGUUGUCCGGAAGUUAUUGGGCGUAAAGAGCUCGUAGGCGGUGUGUCACGUCGGCCGUGAAAACCUGCCAGGCUUAACUAGUGGGCGUGCGGUCGAUACGGGCAUCACUUGGAGUUCGGCAGGGGAGACUGGAAUUCCUGGUGUAGCGGUGAAAUGCGCAGAUAUCAGGAGGAACACCGGUGGCGAAGGCGGGUCUCUGGGCAGUAACUGACGCUGAGGAGCGAAAGCGUGGGGAGCGAACAGG